rnacentral:rRNA from 1 species
GAUGAACGCUGACGGAAUGCUUAACACAUGCAAGUCAACUUGAAUUUGGGUUUUUAACUUAGGUUUGGGUGGCGGACGGGUGAGUAACGCGUAAAGAACUUGCCUCACAGCUAGGGACAACAUUUGGAAACGAAUGCUAAUACCUAAUAUUAUGAUAAUAGGGCAUCCUAUAAUUAUGAAAGCUAUAAGCGCUGUGAGAGAGCUUUGCGUCCCAUUAGCUAGUUGGAGAGGUAACGGCUCACCAAGGCGAUGAUGGGUAGCCGGCCUGAGAGGGUGAUCGGCCACAAGGGGACUGAGACACGGCCCUUACUCCUACGGGAGGCAGCAGUGGGGAAUAUUGGACAAUGGACCGAGAGUCUGAUCCAGCAAUUCUGUGUGCACGAUGAAGUUUUUCGGAAUGUAAAGUGCUUUCAGUUGGGAAGAAACAAAUGACGGUACCAACAGAAGAAGUGACGGUUAAAUACGUG